AUUGCAAUAACAGGCCUGUGAUGCCCUUAGUUAUCCUAGGUCGCACGCGCCAUAGAAUGUGGCGCACAACGAGUUUCCUAGGCCGAUAGGAUUCUAAGAGACUCUGGGCAAUCUGAGAGAGCGCUACGAUGACUGGGCUAGACUUUUGUAAUUGUUGGUCUUGAACGAGGAAUGCCUAGUAAUCGUAGGUCAUUAUCCUGCGAUGAUUAUGUCCCUGCCCUUUGUACACACCGCCCGUCGCUCCUGCCGUGGCUCGUGCCGGUGAAGAGGGGGAGGCAGCGUCAACGGAGUAACAUCUGAUUGUACGUGGAACCCCUCUGAACCUUCGCGAGUAGAGGAAGGAGAAGUCGUAACAAGGUUUUCGUAGGUGAACCUGCGAAAGGAUCAUUA
rnacentral:rRNA from 1 species